ACGGAAGGCAGCAGUGGGGAAUAUUGGACAAUGGGGGGAACCCUGAUCCAGCGACGCCGCGUGAGUGAAGAAGUAUUUCGGUAUGUAAAGCUCUUUAAGCAGGAAAGAAAAUGACGGUACCUGCAGAAUAAGCCCCGGCUAACUACGUGCCAGCAGCCGCGGUAAUACGUAGGGGGCAAGCGUUAUCCGGAUUUACUGGGUGUAAAGGGAGCGUAGACGGCAAUGUGAGUCUGAAGUGAAAGCCCGGGGCUUAACUGCGGGACUGCUUUGGAAACUGUAUGGCUAGAGUGUCGGAGAGGUGAGUGGAAUUCCCAGUGUAGCGGUGAAAUGCGUAGAUAUUGGGAGGAACACCGGUGGCGAAGGCGGCUCACUGGACGAUUACUGACGUUGAGGCUCGAAAGCGUGGGGAGCAAACAGGAUUAGAUACCCUGGUA
rnacentral:rRNA from 1 species